rnacentral:rRNA from 1 species
CGGAGGGCUAGCGUUAUUCGGAAUUACUGGGCGUAAAGCGCACGUAGGCGGACCAGAAGUUAGGGGUGAAAUCCCGGGGCUCAACCUCGGAACUGCCUCUAAACUCCUGGUCUUGAGUUCGAGAGAGGUGAGUGGAAUUCCGAGUGUAGAGGUGAAAUUCGUAGAUAUUCGGAGGAACACCAGUGGCGAAGGCGGCUCACUGGCUCGAUACUGACGCUGAGGUGCGAAAGCGUGGGGAGCAAACAGGAUU